GCAUUGGUGGUUUAGUGGUAGAAUUCUUACCUUCCAUGCAGGAGAUCUGGGUUUAAUUCUCAGCCAGCACA
rnacentral:tRNA from 1 species